rnacentral:lncRNA from 1 species
UGACAUCUCGCCAUUUCUAAAGUACACGAUUUUUUGAAAUAGACUGUUGUCAUUUAUUGCAUCAUCAUAUCUAAUGCGGUGGGUAUAUUGGAUGGAUGACAUGUCACCAUCUCGAUGAUUGUUAUUUAUUGCAUCUUUGUGGUUAAGAGAUUGAUGACCGCUAUAAAUCUCCAAAAUGGAUAACAUAUUGCCUCAUUUUAUCCUUCAUGAGAAGGAAUAACACACCUUCUUUCGUGCCC